GCACUUUUCCCUCCCGCUCCUUUUCUCCCGGCGUCGCUCUGCCCAUUCUCCAUCCUGCGUUCAGUUCAGCCAGCAUGCUGAGAAAUACUUCCUUCUCCAAACAGAGACCUUCAAAGACUUUUCCCCCUCUCACGAUCAACACUCCGUCGUCUAUCCAGGCGUUCAUCCAGCGCAUCUGAUUUGGAUCUUUCCCCCCCCCACCCACCGGGUCUUUGGGCAAUGCCGUCGAUGCCGGUGAGGCUCGAGAGGAACGAGGAGACGGACCACAGGUGAAAGGGAGUUUUUUUACGACGCUGCGGUGUCGGUGAUUUGGACACUUUCCGAAUUAACGCAAUCUUCAGGCAUCAGAGCUGCGCGCUUCCCUUGACUGAAAUAAUAUGACUAAAAAUUGAGGUUCACACACACUUUGGGACGACUGAAAGAGAAGCUUAUCAACUUGUGUUUCUGGACGAAUAGAAGAAAAGGAAGAAGGAAAAAAAAUUGCGUUUAUUUCCUAAAUGGGAGGAUGAUGUGACCUUUUCUUUUGCGCACCGGCAAUCCGACUACACAAACAGCCCCCCGCUGCUUUUCUAUCAGUUGCUCCAUAUUGACCUGUCUUUUGUGGGAUUACACGUGGAGAUAUGAGCAUUGUGAGAGGCCGAGUUGGAUUGUGAGAUUACCGUCCUUUUCCUUUUAUACUCGUCUCUCUCCAAGAGGAAGUACUCCCAAUUUGUUCAAUGGCUUCGGUGUCGAGGUUGACAAGACGCAAAGACGCCAGCCACUGGCCGAGAAUGUCGUCAACUUUCUGGGCUGUGGUGCUUCUGACAGCGCUGCUGGUUCUCUACUGCGGCCAGCUGGCAGCGGGGACUUGUGAGAUUGUGACGCUGGACAGGGACAGCAGCCAACCACGGCGGACCAUCGCCAGGCAGACGGCCCGCUGCGCCUGUAAGAAGGGCCAGAUUGCUGGAACCACAAGAGCCAGACCUGCCUGUGUGGACGCUGGUAUUGUUCGGAAAAAGCAGUGGUGCGAGAUGGUGCCAUGUUUGGAGGACGAAGGCUGUGACCUGCUAGUCAAUAAAUCUGGCUGGACUUGUACACAGCCCGGAGGCCGAGUCAAAACCACCACGGCUCUAUGACGCGACAAGAGUCCCCCUCGACACUCUUGCACUAUGGAGAGCAUUGAUGACCCUUUGACAGACAGCCAAAAAACAUCUGCCAACAACACCCUACCGCCACCACCACCAACAUCACAACAGCUCCAGCAGAACCCUGGUCCAGCAAAGGCAGGAAGCAACACAAGCAGCUACAGAGAAACAAGAGCCUCAUUGCGGGAGCCAGAAAAUCCAUCUGCGCGGCUUUACCAGUAAAUGCGGUCCAGCUUGUUUUGGUCUAAUAACACAACCAGAGACGGCAAAACCAAUAAUUGACUGUUUGAGGGAGCAAGCUUUGCCCUGGACACUGGACAGACUACUAGCUGUAAAACAAAUUUCCAUUUCCUGUGACAAGCCCCUCCGGGUUUCCGACUGCUGCCACCUGCUAUCCGUCAUUGGGUCAAAAUGUUGCGUCCACCUCCUCUCCACUACAUCCGCCUGCUCCGUGAAAUUAGCAGUGCCUGCUCUUAUCGCGGCGGAUUGGACACUUUGAAUCCCAAGAAGAGUUUUUGCCUCAUUGGAAGUGCUAACUGCUAACUGCUUUGAAAAGGGGAUUUCUCCACAACCUUCUCCCGGCCCCCCCAGAGCAAAGGUGGGAUCAUUACCGGACCCCAUUGCUCCUCGGACCACUUCAUGCGGCCGCCAACAAACAAACUGAGCGCUCUCCGCUGUCAAUAGGCCUUCUGCUGGAGUAAACCUCCCAUAUUUUUAUAGACCAAAGAACAAAACAACAGAUACAAACAAUAAAAGUGGACCAUGUGGCACAGAUACACAGAGACUUUGUGAACUUGCUUUUACUGUUGCCACUGAUUAAUGAUCAGCCCCGAGAGAGACACGGUGCACAAAUGGGCAGAUGCAAACAUGUACUGGACACGAUCAAAGGAGUACUUUUAAAACUUUCCAGACAUUUUUUUUUCCUCAGACUUAGCCCACCGCUGUAUUUCGGAAAUGGAGAUAUAGGAACUACAUGCGUAUAACUGUGUAUCAACAACAACAAAAAAAUAAAAACUCUGAUUUGCAUUUUUCAGUAGCUACAGUUGGGACAGCUUACAGUAAGCAUUGUCGAGUUGGUCAUGGAUCCGGAGUGCAAAUCGUAUUAAAGAGAUGAUAAAUAUUUACAGAGCGUAUGAAUGCUAUUCAGUCUGAAUUGAAGGAGUAAAGAAAUGUCAUUAAACGUAUUUUGAAAGGCCCUAAAAAGUUAUAUAUUUAACAGUUUUAUAUGUUGUACCUUUGUAGAGAAGCUUGUUGGACUUAAAAUGUGGUCACAAUGGCAGUUUAGAAGGAUGUGAACAAAUGCUGUUGUUCUCAUUACUGCUAGCUCGUAGUCCCAGGUUUUCUGUUCACACCUCAGUAGCUGCUUUCUUUUCAUGAUCAUCUACAACUCACUGUCUAUCAGAACCAUUGAUGAAAAAAAGGAAAGUGUCAAUGAGGACUGAUCUGCAGCCAAGUGAACAUUGUAAAUCUAUGGUAGUCAGUGGAAGCCAUUGAAAUCUGCUAAUUUGCUAUGAUAUUGUAUUGUACACGGUGUGGAAUACUGACUCAUUUCCUCUCUAUGGCUUUGGAUGUCUUCAUUUAUUUCCGAGCUUGUGUUUUUUCUUUCACAAAUCUGCCAUUUUUUCAAUGGCGAUGAACUUUACAAAGAGACAGGGAAAGCAUUGCAGAAGUAUAACUCAUACGACCAUCUUUUAUCGUGAAAUGUUUCAAGUUAAAAAAUGAAAACAACAUCCCCUGCAAAUUUAGAUGGUCUUAGUUUUCACAGGUCAUCAAAUGGACAUUUCAAAUUAUUUUAAUCUGGUGUUACUUUGAAGAAAAAUGUUUUCUGAAAGUGACAAAAAGGUAAGGAUUCUUUUCUUUCUCAGCGGUUCAGAUGGGUCAAAGGGACAUUAUGUCGAAGAAGUCAAGGCUGCAUCAGUGACUACUUGGUGGUACUAACCAAGUAAGUUAUGACAUCUUUUUGUUAUUCAACCCUGCCUCAUCAUCAUAGAUAAGGUCAACCAUGUGCAUACCAAUGUCUUUGGUAAAGUGAAAUAAAACGCACACCUUCAUAUGAACCA